CCUACGGGAGGCAGCAGUGGGGAAUUUUGGACAAUGGGCGAAAGCCUGAUCCAGCAAUGCCGCGUGAGUGAAGAAGGCCUUCGGGUUGUAAAGCUCUUUUGUCAGGGAAGAAACGGUGAGAGCUAAUAUCUUUUGCUAAUGACGGUACCUGAAGAAUAAGCACCGGCUAACUACGUGCCAGCAGCCGCGGUAAUACGUAGGGUGCAAGCGUUAAUCGGAAUUACUGGGCGUAAAGCGUGCGCAGGCGGUUUUGUAAGUCUGAUGUGAAAUCCCCGGGCUCAACCUGGGAAUUGCAUUGGAGACUGCAAGGCUAGAAUCUGGCAGAGGGGGGUAGAAUUCCACGUGUAGCAGUGAAAUGCGUAGAUAUGUGGAGGAACACCGAUGGCGAAGGCAGCCCCCUGGGUCAAGAUUGACGCUCAUGCACGAAAGCGUGGGGAGCAAACAGGAUUAGAUACCCUGGUAGUCCACGCCCUAAACGAUGUCUACUAGUUGUCGGGUCUUAAUUGACUUGGUAACGCAGCUAACGCGUGAAGUAGACCGCCUGGGGAGUACGGUCGCAAGAUUAAAACCNCGAAAGUGAAAUUGACGG
rnacentral:rRNA from 1 species